UACCCCCACUCCCCAACCGCAGCCGGCUCAAAUCUCACAGGGUGAGUCCAACCUCUUUGCCAAGAUUUGAACUAAGCUUACUCUUGCAGCAUCAUUUCCUUUCACCUGGCCUUUGCAACUUCCAUGUCAACACUGCAACCUACACUCGCAGUAAAUCAGAUUCCUGAAGUUUCCUAAACACAUUAUGACAGUGUUGUCCAACAGAACUUUCUGUGAUGAUGUAAAUGUUCUAUGCCCAUUCUAUACGAUACCAGUCAUAGGUGGGUAAUUGGGAACUUAAAAGUUGGCAAAUGUGACUAAGAGGCAGGCCAUGUUGACAACUGAGAGAUGGGAUUGGUGGAGGCGGGCAAACACGUUUGAACCAAAUCAAAGUAUGGAACCACACACAGGAUAAAAAGAAAAGAAAGCAGAUCCUGCCUCCUUAAGAACUACAUGAUCAGACGGACCAAAGAUCAGGCGGGCACCGUCUAUCCAAACCCAAGAAAGAAUCAGUCUGUCACACGUCUCAUCAGUUACUUAACUGGGAACACCACCACAGCGGUAAAGCUCCACAGCUUCUCCACCCCAAAACAACUCAAAAACUUCAAUCCUGCCAGUGGGGACCCACAGUCCGCAUGAAAAUCAACACUACUUCCAGCAGCAAAGACUUGCAACGCUUUUUAUUCCGUAACCAGUACCACCAGACCACGUCCAGCCCCAACCUCUCCGAAAAUCCCAGCAAGAAAGUAAAUCAUCAAUCACUGACAGGCCUUCGAAGUCCGACAAGGUCCUGACUUGCUCCUAACAACGCAGACCAAGGACAGUCCUAAACCAAGACAAAAAGGCUCCCUGUCUAGCCCACACCCUACCCUCCUCCGCAGAGAUUCAGCCGGCCCGAGGUCACCACGGUCAGAGGGACCCUCCCAGCCCCUGGCUGGACCAAGAUUCUAGGCCAUCUUUCCAAAGCUCACCGCCAAGGAGGGCUGGAAAACCUCAGUCCUGAGUCUCCAGCCUGGAGCUCCAGCCUGGAGACAGAAUCUGGCUCCCAGCUACCUAACACCCAAGUCAGGGGAAAGCCCGGCACCUACAC